CCCUUAGAUGUUCUGGGCCGCACGCGCGCUACACUGUUCGACGCAGCGAGUCUUAACCUUGACCGAAAGGUUUGGGUAAUCUUCAGCAAAGUCGAACGUGAUGGGGAUCGAUCAUUGCAAUUAUUGAUCGUGGACGAGGAAUUCCUAGUAAGUGCAAGUCAUCAGCUUGCGCUGAUUACGUCCCUGCCCUUUGUACACACCGCCCGUCGCUACUACCGAUUGAAUGGUUUAGUGAGAUCUCUGGAUUGACGCUGGCUAGGGGGCGACCCUUGGCCGGACUGUUGAGAAACUGCUCAAACUUGAUCAUUUAGAGGAAGUAAAAGUCGUAACA
rnacentral:rRNA from 1 species